UACGUAGGGGGCAAGCGUUGUCCGGAUUUAUUGGGCGUAAAGAGCGUGUAGGCGGCCAGAUAGGUCAGCUGUGAAAACUCGAGGCUCAACCUCGAGACGUCGGUUGAAACCAUCUGGCUAGAGUCCGGAAGAGGAGAGUGGAAUUCCCGGUGUAGCGGUGAAAUGCGCAGAUAUUGGGAGGAACACCAGUGGCGAAGGCGGCUCACUGGACCGGUACUGACGCUGAUGCGCGAAAGCGUGGGGAGCAAACGGG
rnacentral:rRNA from 1 species